GACGUACGCUGGCGGCGUGCUUAACACAUGCAAGUCGAACGAUGAAGCUAGAGCUUGCUCUGGUGAAUUAGUGGCGAACGGGUGAGUAACACGUGAGUAACCUGCCCCGAACUCUGGGAUAACUGCUGGAAACGGUAGCUAAUACUGGAUACGACCUACGAAGGCAUCUUCUGUAGGUGGAAAGAAUUUCGGUUCGGGAUGGACUCGCGGCCUAUCAGCUUGUUGGUGAGGUAAUGGCUCACCAAGGCGACGACGGGUAGCCGGCCUGAGAGGGGAACCGGCCACACUGGGACUGAGACACGGCCCAGACUCCUACGGGGGGCAGCAGUGGGGAAUAUUGCACAAUGGGCGCAAGCCUGAUGCAGCAACGCCGCGUGAGGGAUGACGGCCUUCGGGUUGUAAACCUCUUUUAGUAGGGAAGAAGCGAAAGUGACGGUACCUGCAGAAAAAGCACCGGCUAACUACGUGCCAGCAGCCGCCGUAA
rnacentral:rRNA from 1 species